rnacentral:rRNA from 1 species
ACGUAGGUGGCGAGCGUUGUCCGGAAUUACUGGGUGUAAAGGGAGCGCAGGCGGGGAGACAAGUCAGCUGUGAAAACUAUCGGCUUAACUGAUAGAGUGCAGUUGAAACUGUUUUUCUUGAGUGGAGCAGAGGCAGGCGGAAUUCCGAGUGUAGCGGUGAAAUGCGUAGAUAUUCGGAGGAACACCAGUGGCGAAGGCGGCCUGCUGGGCUUUAACUGACGCUGAGGCUCGAAAGUGUGGGGAGCAAACAG